GUGCUGGCUUCGGCAGUAUAUACACCCAAGAUGGGGACGAUACAGAGAUUAGCGUGGCCCCUGCGCAAGGAUGACAGGCAUGUUCCCCAGAGAACAGUGCUUCCCGUGUCU
ensembl:snRNA U6 U6 spliceosomal RNA